UUUCGACAGUCAAAGCCGCAUACCUGGAUGGACCACCAGAGAAAUUCAAUUCCUACGUGACGCUCAAGCUCCAGAAUGUGAAGUCUACGACUGUAGCAGUGAAGGGCAACCAGCCACUGUGGGAGCAAGACUUCAUGUUCGAGACAAAUCAGCUGAAUGUUGGAUUGGUUGUUGAGCUAUGGACUAAAGGACUGAUCUGGGAUACCCUCUUGGGUACCGCUCUGGUACCCCUCCGAGGGAUUAAACAGUCCAGUGAGGUAAGGAUCAAUCACUUUUGAUGUCACCAUUAUCACCAUUUUCAUCAUCGUCGUUGUUGUUGUUGGUAGUAGUUUUAUGGGUUUCAUUCAGU